AUUGAACGCUGGCGGCAUGCCUUACACAUGCAAGUCGAACGGUAACAGGUCUUCGGAUGCUGACGAGUGGCGAACGGGUGAGUAAUACAUCGGAACGUGCCCAAUCGUGGGGGAUAGCUCGGCGAAAGCCGGAUUAAUACCGCAUACGAUCUACGGAUGAAAGCAGGGGAUCGCAAGACCUUGCGCGAAUGGAGCGGCCGAUGGCAGAUUAGGUAGUUGGUGGGGUAAAGGCUCACCAAGCCGACGAUCUGUAGCUGGUCUGAGAGGACGACCAGCCAAACUGGGACUGAGACACGGCCCAGACUCCUACGGGAGGCAGCAGUGGGGAAUUUUGGACAAUGGGCGCAAGCCUGAUCCAGCAAUGCCGCGUGCAGGAUGAAGGCCUUCGGGUUGUAAACUGCUUUUGUACGGAACGAAAAAGCUCUGGUUAAUACAGGGGGCUCAUGACGGUACCGUAAGAAUAAGCACCGGCUAACUACGUGCCAGCCGCCACCGAAAGAC
rnacentral:rRNA from 1 species